rnacentral:rRNA from 1 species
GAUGAACGCUGGCGGCGUGCCUAAUACAUGCAAGUCGAGCGAACAGACGAGGAGCUUGCUCCUCUGACGUUAGCGGCGGACGGGUGAGUAACACGUGGAUAACCUACCUAUAAGACUGGGAUAACUUCGGGAAACCGGAGCUAAUACCGGAUAAUAUAUUGAACCGCAUGGUUCAAUAGUGAAAGACGGUUUUGCUGUCACUUAUAGAUGGAUCCGCGCCGCAUUAGCUAGUUGGUAAGGUAACGGCUUAUCAAGGCAACGAUGCGUAGCCGACCUGAGAGGGUGGUCGGCCACACUGGAACUGAGACACGGUCCAGACUCCUACGGGAGGCAGCAGUAGGGAAUCUUCCGCAAUGGGCGAAAGCUUGACGGAGCAACGCCGCGUGAGUGAUGAAGGUCUUCGGAUCGUAAAACUCUGUUAUUAGGGAAGAACAAAUGUGUAAGUAACUAUGCACGUCUUGACGGUACCUAAUCAGAAAGCCACGGCUAACUACGUG